UGAGCCUGAGAGAAGCGCAGCAUCAUCGUGGUCUGUUAGGCAGCAGAAAGCCUCCGACCGUUGGGAGGAAGCACGGCCAUACCACCUCAGAUGCCUUUUGGAAUCUGAGGCUGUUGGCAAGCCAUUGUGUUGCUUCUGCCACAAGCCUGCUGUUAUAAGGUGCAGAGAGUGCCUUCCGGAGCAGUGGUUUUGUGGGGCCUGCGACAUGCAUAACCACAGCAAACGGCCACUCCACAACAGGGACAGCGUGGUGGAUGGCUUCUUUAAAGCCAUUCCCCCAUCCACAUGUAUCUCAAGAGGAGAGACUGGAAUAUAUGCCACACAUGAGCAAGAUCGCAUUUUACCCACAAUGCCAGCACAGCACUGCACCUGCCAGGUCCCUAGCUUCACAGUGGAAGCUUGAUUACCAUCAAUGGGCGUUAUGAUUUGCAUUUGCCACGUUAUGUGUGCCAAACAUGCCUGCAGCAGUGGGCCCCUGAUGUGAGAGACCUAGUCAGGAGUGGAUAUUGGCCAGCUUCUGCAAAUGCUUCCACAAUCUACACGGUGGACCUCCUCAACACCUUUCAGGAGCUGAAGUUGAUCUCACCUGGAUUCUCCAGGCAAGCCUUUGCAAAGCUGCUAGAACAUCGCACACUGUGUGCAGGAAGAUCUGGACAGAUCAACGGGGAUGCCCUGCAGAGGAGCUUUCUUGAGUUUGCAUACGCCUCCUUUGAGAAAGACCAG